UACGUACCGUCCAAACGUUAUUCGGAUUCAUUGGGCUUAAAGGGUAUGUAGGCGGCGCUGUCAGUCGGGUGUGAAAUCCCUCGGCUCAACCGAGGAACUGCGCCCGAUACUGCAGCGCUCGAGGGAGACAGAGGUAAGCGGAACUGAUGGUGGAGCGGUGAAAUGCGUUGAUAUCAUCAGGAACACCGGUGGCGAAAGCGGCUUACUGGGUCUCUUCUGACGCUGAGAUACGAAAGCUAGGGGAGCGAACGGG
rnacentral:rRNA from 1 species